AGAUUUCUAAAAAUCCUUUCUAUGUAUUGAUCUUAAGUUAUAUUCUAAUUUUCUGAGAUAAUGAAUUUGGGAUCUUCCUUAGUUGUCAGUUAUAAUAAUCAAAAUUAAAAGAAAUAAAUGUUUGAAAUAUAUCAGUCUGUGUGUAAUGAAUGAAUAUAAUCUACAAGUUGGAAUUAGUGAAAUAAAUCAACUUUUUAAUGAUAUUCUAAUUAUAUGACCAGCACCUGCAAUACUGAAAGAGGUACACAUUAUAGCAUCACGUAAAUGAGUCCCUCCAUUACCACAUGCUGAGUAUUGUGAUUAUUCUGUGUUGAUCUCUAACAUUCAAACUCCAGAUUUCAUUGUUGCUGGAUAAAACAUAUGGGAUAAGGUGAAUAACAGAUGCUUGAACCUUCAAGUUGCAUUCUGUGAAGUGAUAUUUGGUGUAGAUGUGUACACUGUAAAAUUUUUCCAGGAUUUCACAAGAUAUAACUGUAAUAUUUCACAGUUAAUUACAUUAUUACCACUUCACAGGCUUUAACUGUGAUAAUUCACAAUAUAAUACCGUAUUUAGACUUUUACUGUGAAAAUAAUGCAGGCGCGGGGCUUUUACAAGAAACUACUGUGAAUGCCGUCUUUUUUGAGUGGCAACUGCGGCAGCGUCAUCAGAGCGUCAUCAGAGCUCUCUGAUCUACGUGGUCUCAUUCGGUGGAUUCAGACAGCGCAUUUUCUACAUUGACCAACGAUACAUAAAGUUAUAAGGUGCUUCUUGAGCAUCAACCCAGAGACGGGCACAAAAUCUAAGAGGCAGAGAGGUCACAUGAACCAGCAAGUCUGCACUCUUAUCAGGAAGCUCAUUGACUUCGAAUGGAUGUCAAUCUAAUUGGAUAGAACCCACACUAUGCAGGUGCCAGCUGCGAGGGAAGGAGAGAGACACCUGCGACCCUCUCUAUUCCCACCUUUUUGUCUUUUCUUACAUCUCUCUCCCUCACUCUCUCUUCUCUGUCUCCUUCUUUCUCUUUUGACACACAUUCCUGUUACCCAGUGUCAAUCCCGGUUGCCCAGUGUUUUAUUCAUGUAAUUAAAUUGUAUUUUACUUCUAAAAAAUAAAGUUAUGUCACUGUUUUUAUCAGUUUUGUUUGGUCCAUCAUUUACGCUAAAUCACAGUAAUAGAUAGACAUUCACAGUUAUGUACAGUAAUUCUACAGCUGCUUACUGCUAAAUUACAGUAAUAGACUAAUUUCACAGUUAAAUACAUUAAUUCUACAUCUGCUUGCUGCUAAAUUACAGUAAUAGACACUAAUUUCACAGUUAAAUACAUGAAUUCUACAGCUGCUUACUGUUAAAUUACAGUAAUACAUAGACACCAACUGUAAUUUCACAGUUAAAUACAUUAAUUCUACAGCAGCUUACCGCUAAAUCACAGUAAUGCGAUGUCAGAAUUACUGUGAAGUCACAGUAUACAGCUGUCAUUUCACAAUAAUUUACUGUAAAAAUGUUACAGUAACUUACUGUGAAAGUCAUGCAAUUAUUAACCUGCAAUUUAUUGUAAAUUUACAGUCAAAUAAUUAACAGUGUACUUCCUAAUUAUUAUAAAACU